GAUGAAGAACGCAGCGAAAUGCGAUACUUGGUGUGAAUUGCAGAAUCCCGUGAACCAUCGAGUCUUUGAACGCAAGUUGCGCCCGAAGCCAUUAGGCCGAGGGCACGCCUGCCUGGGUGUCACACGUCGUUGCCCCCCCAUCUACUCCUUCGGGAUUGCGGGGGGCGGAUGAUGGCCUCCCGUGCGCCUCGUCGCGCGGUUGGCAUAAAUGCCAAGUCCUCGGCGACGCACGCCACGACAAUCGGGGGUUGCGAAACCUCGGUUGCCCGUCGUGUGCGGUCGUCGCGCAUCGAGGGCUCGAAAAAAUUGCCGGGCUCCGGCUCGGCUUUCAACGCGACCCCAGGUCAGGCGGGGUUACCCGCUGAAUUUAAGCAUAUCAAUAAGCGGAGGA
rnacentral:misc_RNA from 1 species